UUGUAUGGCCCAACCUCCUUGUCAAAGCCUGAUCUCUUCAGAUCUCAGAAGCUCAGCAAGGUUGUGCAUGGUUGGUACUUGGAUGGGAGACCACUGGGAAUGCCAGGUGCCACAGC
rnacentral:rRNA from 1 species